rnacentral:misc_RNA from 1 species
AACGCACGAGACCUGCGGACCUGCGGAGGGAUCAUUACUGAGAUAGGGUUUCUUCUGAGCCCGACCUCCAACCCUUUGCUUAAACCACCUUGUUGCUUUGGCAGGCCCCGUCCCUUUGGGGACCGCCGGGAGUGUUUAAUCACCCUUGGCCAGUGCCUGCCAGUAGCCAAUUUAAAUUCCUUUUUAACCAUGUUGUCUGAAAAAAACACAAGAAAUUCAAUUAAAACUUUCAACAAUGGA